CAUCAAAUCCAGCUUCUGCCCAUGCAAAGGAUCAUCCCUACGAGUCACAUCACAUGUCCAAAUGCUUCUGGGAACUCUUAGGGUUUGCACAUACACACAACCAGGCUGACAGAGUUGAUGCUGAAUGAGUGCCUCUAGUGAGGCACAGCCAUGAAACGGAUCCGGCAAGUUGUAUAACUUGGAACAGAAAUCGCUUACCUGCAUUUAUUACAAGGGUCAUUAGGGUCAUUAUUGUAAAUAUAUUUGGUGGUUUUUAAACUAUCAUAAAUAUUUUCAAAAUUAAAAUUGUAAUUGUGAAA